CGUGUAGGCGGUUGGUCAAGUCUGGUGUGAAAGCCCGGGGCUUAACCCCGGAAGUGCACUGGAAACUAGCCAGCUAGAGCGCGGGAGAGGAGGGUGGAAUUCCUGGUGUAGCGGUGAAAUGCGUAGAUAUCAGGAGGAACACCGGCGGCGAAGGCGGCCCUCUGGCUCGUUGCUGACGCUGAAACGCGAAAGCGUGGGGAGCAAACAGGAUUAGAUACCCUGGUAGUCCACGCUGUAAACGAUGGGUACUAGGUGUUCGGGGUAUUGACCCCCUGAGUGCCGACGCUAACGCAUUAAGUACCCCGCCUGGGGACUACGGCCGCAAGGUUAAA
rnacentral:rRNA from 1 species